rnacentral:rRNA from 1 species
AGUGAACGCUGGCGGUAGGCCUAACACAUGCAAGUCGAACGGCAGCACGGUAAGAGCUUGCUCUUACGGGUGGCGAGUGGCGGACGGGUGAGGAAUACAUCGGAAUCUACUUUUUCGUGGGGGAUAACGUAGGGAAACUUACGCUAAUACCGCAUACGACCUACGGGUGAAAGCAGGGGAUCUUCGGACCUUGCGCGAUUGAAUGAGCCGAUGUCGGAUUAGCUAGUUGGCGGGGUAAAGGCCCACCAAGGCGACGAUCCGUAGCUGGUCUGAGAGGAUGAUCAGCCACACUGGAACUGAGACACGGUCCAGACUCCUACGGGAGGCAGCAGUGGGGAAUAUUGGACAAUGGGCGCAAGCCUGAUCCAGCCAUACCGCGUGGGUGAAGAAGGCCUUCGGGUUGUAAGGCCCUUUUGUUGGGAAAGAAAAGCAGCAGGUUAAUACCCCGCUGUUCUGACGGUACCCAAAGAAUAAGCACCGGCUAACUUCGUG